GACGAACGCUGGCGGCGUGCUUAACACAUGCAAGUCGAACGGAAAGGCCCUGCUUUUGUGGGGUGCUCGAGUGGCGAACGGGUGAGUAACACGUGAGUAACCUGCCCUUGACUUUGGGAUAACUUCAGGAAACUGGGGCUAAUACCGGAUAGGAGCUCCUGCUGCAUGGUGGGGGUUGGAACGUUUCGGCGGUUGGGGAUGGACUCGCGGCUUAUCAGCUUGUUGGUGGGGUAGUGGCUUACCAAGGCUUUGACGGGUAGCCGGCCUGGGAGGGUGACCGGCCACAUUGGGACUGAGAUACGGCCCAGACUCCUACGGGAGGCAGCAGUGGGGAAUAUUGCACAAUGGGCGGAAGCCUGAUGCAGCAACGCCGCGUGCGGGAUGACGGCCUUCGGGUUGUAAACCGCUUUCGCCUGUGACGAAGCGUGAGUGACGGUAAUGGGUAAAGAAGCACCGGCUAACUACGUG
rnacentral:rRNA from 1 species